rnacentral:pre_miRNA from 9 species
AUGCUGGGCAGUCUGUCUUUAAGUAGGGGUAAAUUACUCUAAAAGAAAUUAAUCUUAGAUAGUUUUCCCUUUAGGUCAAGUGUCUUGU